UACGGGGGGGGCAAGCGUUGUUCGGAAUCACUGGGCGUAAAGGGCGCGUAGGCGGCCAUAUAAGUCGGGGGUGAAAGCCUGUGGCUCAACCACAGAAUUGCCUUCGAUACUGUAUGGCUCGAGACCGGAAGAGGUAAGUGGAACUGCGAGUGUAGAGGUGAAAUUCGUAGAUAUUCGCAAGAACACCAGUGGCGAAGGCGGCUUACUGGUCCGGUUCUGACGCUGAGGCGCGAAAGCGUGGGGAGCAAACAGG
rnacentral:rRNA from 1 species